rnacentral:tRNA from 1 species
GCCCGACUAGCUCAAUCGGUAGAGCACGAGACUCUUAAUCUCGGGGUUGUGGGUUCGAGCCCCACAUUGGGCG